rnacentral:lncRNA from 1 species
CACAUGACUGCUGAGAUAAACCUGUGAACUUUCCCUUACAGAGACUCCGUCCUGUGCUAGACCUUGGAGGUCAAAAGCAAGCUUUGGUCUAAGUGGGGCUGGUUUGGAAAGCCUUCAACAUAGCACAAGAGCUCGCUCAUCAGAAGUCUUCUAAUUAGCACAUUCUUAUUUCUACCUGAAAUGUAUGAAGCCCAAAAAUAAUCAAUGCCUGACUUCAAUUCUAGGAAAAGAAAAGGACAGUUGGCAGUGUCUCACUAUGGAGCCCAGGUUGGCCUCAAACUUGCAGUGAUCCUCCUGCCUCAGCCUCCCAAGCGCUUAGCAAAGUCUCCAUCUUUUUAUUCUCUGAGGAGAAGUCCUCUUCCAUACCAUAUGCUUUGUCUUGGAGAGAAGAUAAAGGAGAUGAGGGAAGGUGGAAGUCCUGACUUACUGGCCUCUUAAGCCAAAUGAAGAAACCGGAGCUGGGUCUAUGGCUAUACCAUCCUGAACGCGCACAAUCGCAUCUGAUCUUGGAAGCUAAGCAGGGUCGGGCCCGAAGUGCAAAGGGUUUAACUCAGGAAGAAGCAGCACCAUGAAGUGAGCCAGACCUCAUUCACACCUUCCUGCUGUGGCUCCACUCACCCACUGCAGAGUCUACCAAUUCUUUCCUCAGACUUGGCAUAAAUUGGAGGGAAAGAUGUUUACCAGAAUGGAUGGAUGGCUGGAUAGAUGGAUAGAUGGAUAGACAAAUGGAUUAAUCUCAGGGAGUCUUGCAAUGUUCUUCCAUGUGUUUGUGGCAGAAAACACUUUGAUGUGUUUUUAGAAUGCUAUUUCUAAUACUUCAAGUUCAAAUAUCGAGGCUGAAAAAAACAAAGACAUUCUAUCUCCAAAAAGAAGGCAGUACAAUAGAGCUCAACAGCACGAGCUUUGGAGUCAUUCAGUCCUUAUUAACACCUCUGAAUUUCUGUUUCUUCAUGUAUAAAAUGAUGGUAAUAACAGUACCUUUCUCAAAGAUGGUUGCUAUUUGAAUUAACUAAAAUAACUUUUGGAUAAUAUCAGUAAUUUACUGCUUAUAAAAUAGGGAGCACUUGAGAAAUUAUAACUCUAACUCACUGAAAAGAUUUCUGUUGAGGUUAUUAUAGGCUUAGUUCUAUCAC